rnacentral:rRNA from 1 species
AUACGAAGGGCCCGAGCGUUAAUCGGAAUCACUGGGCUUAAAGAGUACGUAGGCGGACGCGCAGGCAUCUUGUGAAAUCCCUCGGCUCAACCGAGGAACUGCUUGGUGAACCGCGUGUCUUGAGGCAAGUAGGGGCUGUCGGAACGAUAGGUGGAGUGGUGAAAUGCGUUGAUAUCUAUCGGAACGCCGAAGGAGAAAUCAGGUCGCUGGGCUUGUUCUGACGCUGAGGUACGAAAGCGUGGGGAGCGAACGGGAUUAGAAACCCUAGUAGUCC